AUUGAACGCUGGCGGAAUGCUUUACACAUGCAAGUCGAACGGCAGCAUAGGUGCUUGCACCUGAUGGCGAGUGGCGAACGGGUGAGUAAUAUAUCGGAACGUGCCCAGUCGUGGGGGAUAACGUAGCGAAAGCUACGCUAAUACCGCAUACGAUCUACGGAUGAAAGCGGGGGACCUUCGGGCCUCGCGCGAUUGGAGCGGCCGAUAUCGGAUUAGGUAGUGCGUGGGGUAAAGGCGCACCAAGCCAACGAUCUGUAGCUGGCCUGAGAGGACGACCAACCACACUGGGACUGAGCCACGGCCCAGAAGCCUACGGGAGGCAGCAGUGGGGAAUUUUGGACAAUGGAAGCAAGUCUGAUCCAGCCAUUCCGCGUGCAGGACGAAGGCCUUCGGGUUGUAAACUGCUUUUGUACAGAACGAAAAGGUUUCUACUAAUACUAGGGGCUCAUGACGGUACUGUAAGAAUAAGCACCGGCUAACUACGUGCCAGCCGCCGCCGUAA
rnacentral:rRNA from 1 species